CAGUCGCCGCGGGAAUGCGUAGGUGGCAAGCGUUGUCCGGAAUUAUUGGGCGUAAAGGGCUCGCAGGCGGUUUCUUAAGUCUGAUGUGAAAGCCCCCGGCUCAACCGGGGAGGGUCAUUGGAAACUGGGAAACUUGAGUGCAGAAGAGGAGAGUGGAAUUCCACGUGUAGCGGUGAAAUGCGUAGAGAUGUGGGGGAACACCAGUGGCGAAGGCGACUCUCUGGUCUGUAACUGACGCUGAGGAGCGAAAGCGUGGGGAGCGAACAGGAUUAGAUACCCGCGUAGUCCCUGUCUCUUAUAC
rnacentral:rRNA from 1 species